GGCGACCAGAAUUGGACACAGUACUCCAGAAGAGGCCUCACCAACGUCCUGUACAACCUCAACAUGACAUUCCAACUCCUAUACUUAAAGGUUUGAGCAAUGAUGGCAAGCAUGCUAACUGCUUCUGAAGCCACCACGUCUACAUGUGAUGCAAACUUAAAAACUUAAAAAAGAAAUACGUACCUCUUUAAGGCCUCUCUUUUCUACAACACUACCAAGGCCCUACUUUUAAUUGUAUGAUUCCUGAUUCAAACUGAGAGUUGUGCUCGAUUUGAUCAUUUCACUGCUACAGUUUUUUUUGGAAAGCAGCAAUGCAUUGGUAAGAGAUAGUAGGAACUGCCGAUGCUGGAGAAUCUGAGAUAACAAGGUGUAGAGCUGGAUGAACACAGCAGGCCAAGCAGCAUCAGAGGAGCAGGAAAGCUGACGUUUCAGGCCUAGACCCUUCUUCAGAAAUGGAACCCCAGGAGCAGCUAUGAUGCCUAUAUUUUUGAAGUCCCCUGUUCUUACUCAGUUUCAAAGGUCAAAACAUUACAAGAAGCAUUAAAGGAGGCAAGGGCUAUUCUGCACAAACUAUGGCUGAUGACUUCAUUAUGAAACCUCCUGACUGAGGCCAAGUAUAGAUACAGUGCAGUCCAUUCUUCAACCAGGGUCACCAUAGAGCAGACGAUAGACUUGCUUAACUCAGUCUGCAACGGGGGUCAGCCAGUACAAUACCACUUCAUCCAAGUGUGCUGUGCAUUGCACAACUGAAGCAGGCAGCAAGGAGAUGUGAUGGAAUCUGUGGAGUUGGAACAGCAACAGCAGUCAUUUAGGAAGGAAGAUGAAGAAAUUAAGUAGGAGUAACACCACCUUCAGCAUGAUCGAACAGUGCAGUAUCAGGCAUAACACAGCCAGACAGGACUCAAUUGGCAUUCAGUUCCAAUAGAUACAAGCUGGGUGAAAUCAUUAUUCAUUUGUUUUCAAUAAAAGGCAAACAGUCCCUGUCUGUUCCCAAAACCAAA